UACGUAGGGACCAAGCGUUGUUCGGAUUUACUGGGCGUAAAGGGCGCGUAGGCGGCGUGACAAGUCACUUGUGAAAUCUCCGGGCUUAACUCGGAACGGCCAAGUGAUACUGCAGUGCUAGAGUGCAGAAGGGGCAAUCGGAAUUCUUGGUGUAGCGGUGAAAUGCGUAGAUAUCAAGAGGAACACCUGAGGUGAAGACGGGUUGCUGGGCUGACACUGACGCUGAGUGCGCGAAAGCCAGGGGAGCAAACGGG
rnacentral:rRNA from 1 species